AUGGCCCUGGAGUUCAGGGGUUCCCAGAAGAGGAAGCCCAAGCCACGCCGAGUGCUUUGCAGCCUGUCUGAGCCAGGCUCGGGGACAAGGGGGACGCACCGGCUCGCUGAACUUCCAGGACAAGAUCACAAGAUGCCCUCUGAGUGUGGUUCUCUGUGGCUCUUCAUGAUGGGUUCAGAUCACAAGAUGCCCUCAGAGUGUGGUUCUCUGUGGCUCUUCGUGAUGUGUUUAGAUCACAAGAUGCCCUCGGAGUGUGGUUCUCUGUGGCUCUUCAUGAUGGGUUCAGAUCACAAGAUGCCCUCGGAGUGUGGUUCUCUGUGGCUCUUCGUGAUGUGUUUAGAUCACGAGACGCCCUCUGAGUGUGGUUCUCUGUGGCUCUUCAUGAUGGGUUCAGAUCACAAGAUGCCCUCAGAGUGUGGUUCUCUGUGGCUCUUCGUGAUGUGUUUAGAUCACAAGACGCCCUCGGAGUGUGGUUCUCUGUGGCUCUUCGUGAUGUGUUUAGAUCACAAGAUGCCCUCGGAGUGUGGUUCUCUGUGGCUCUUCAUGAUGGGUUCAGAUCACAAGAUGCCCUCGGAGUGUGGUUCUCUGUGGCUCUUCGUGAUGUGUUUAGAUCACAAGACGCCCUCUGAGUGUGGUUCUCUCUGGCUCUUCAUGAUGGGUUCAGAUCACAAGACGCCCUCGGAGUGUGGUUCUCUGUGGCUCUUCGUGAUGGGUUUCAAUUGUUAUCAUUCCUGCUGCUUCCUCCUAGGAAAUGAGUAAACCAUGAUGGUCAUAAAACAAAUAUUAAAAUGCUGUGUGUACUCUUGGGACAGACGUUGUCUUGAGCGAUGGCCUUCCUGACCCUGACCAGUGCCCAUGCACAUCCUGAGCUUGACUGAGAGCCGAAGACCCCUGCCAGAAGGGGGAUGGCCCCAGCCAGGAAGCCCCCGCCCUGCACAGGGAGCCCAGGAGCCGCGAGCAGAUGCGCUCUUACGUAUCUAUUUAUUUUGUUUCUUUUGUUUAUUUAUUUUUGAGAUGGAGUUUUGCUCUUGUUGCCCAGGCUGGAGUGCAGUGGCGCAAUCUUGGCUCACUGCAACCUCCACCCGCCAGGUUAAAGCGAUUCUCCUGCCUCAGCCUCCCAAGUAGCAGGGAUUACAGGCAUAUGCCACCGUGCCCAGUUAAUUUUUGUGUUUUUACUAGAGACGGGGUUUCAUCAUGUUGGUCAGGCUGGUUUCAAGUUCCUCACCUUAUGAUCUGCCCACCUCAGCCUCCCAAAGUGCUGGGAUUAGAGGUGUGAGCCACUGCGCCUGCUAUUUAUUUCUGAUCCAGUCUAACCAUGAUCAUUGAGCCGUCUUUCAUUUUUUCUUUUUUGUAAGUUGCCUCUGCCAAGAAGAAGCCAUGAGUUGGCUUUCACGGAAUGGGCGCUCUUGGUCACAUAGAAAUAAAACCUGGCCGUGUGCCUGGUCCA
rnacentral:lncRNA from 13 species